rnacentral:rRNA from 1 species
UGGGGAAUAUUGCACAAUGGGCGGAAGCCUGAUGCAGCGACGCCGCGUGAGGGAUGACGGCCUUCGGGUUGUAAACCUCUUUCAGUAGGGACGAAGCGUAAGUGACGGUACCUGCAGAAGAAGCUCCGGCUAAAUACGUGCCAGCAGCCGCGGUAAUACGUAUGGAGCAAGCGUUAUCCGGAUUCAUUGGGCGUAAAGCGCUCGUAGGCGGUCUGUUAGGUCGGCAAGUUAAAUCCGGGGGCUCAACCCCCGUCCGCUUCCGAUACCGGCAGACUUGAGUUUGGUAGGGGAAGGUGGAAUUCCUAGUGUAGCGAUGGAAUGCGCAGAUAUUAGGAAGAACACCGGUGGCGAAGGCGGCCUUCUGGGCCAUAACUGACGCUGAGGAGCGAAAGCUAGGGGAGCGAACAGG